GAUCCUGGCUCAGAUUGAACGCUGGCGGCAGGCCUAACACAUGCAAGUCGAACGGUAACAGGAAGCAGCUUGCUGCUUUGCUGACGAGUGGCGGACGGGUGAGUAAUGUCUGGGAAACUGCCUGAUGGAGGGGGAUAACUACUGGAAACGGUAGCUAAUACCGCAUAACGUCGCAAGACCAAAAGAGGGGGACCUUCGGGCCUCUUGCCAUCGGAUGUGCCCAGAUGGGAUUAGCUUGUUGG
rnacentral:rRNA from 1 species